GGAUAACUGGGGAAAUGCAAGAGUUAAUACCUGACAGGAUGUUCCGAUCAGUCUUUGACGAUCAGAGCGCGUUUAUUGGUUCGAUCUGUCAGUGCCGUCAAUUCAAUGAAUUGUCGGUCUGCUCAGCUGUUGAAACGGAAUAACUAUGCUGAUCGCACGGUCUUAGUACCGGCGACGAAUCUUUGAAAUGACUUGCUCAUCAACUGUCGAUGGUAGGUUACGUGCCUACCAUGGUGACAACGGUUAGCGGAGAAUAGGGGUUCGGUUCCGGAGAAGGAGCCUGAGAGACGGCUACUACAUCCAAGGAAGGCAGCAGGCGCGCAAAUUACCCACUCCCGGAACGGGGAGGUAGUGACGAUAAAUAACGGAACGUAUCUCGAUGAGACGCGUUACCGGAACGAUUGAGCCGUAUACGAGCUCGACUAAAGCUAUUGGAGGGCAAGUCUGGUGCCAGCAGCCGCGGUAAUUCCAGCUCCAAUAGCGUAUAUUAAAGCUGCUGCGGUUGAACCGCUCGUAGUUGGAUUGCGAUUUUCGGCCACGGUCCUCCAAACGAGGAGGAUUGGCUCCUGCCGCCGUUGGUCAUGAUCGGUAUUGUCAUGCUUGUCCACGAUGCUCUUUAGUGAGUGUCGUGGGUGACAUGGACGUUUACUUUGAGAAAAUAAGAGCGCUCAAAGCAGGCUGCUCUAAGCUUGAACGGAAUUUCAUGGGAUAGUGAAAGAUGAUCUCGGUGGUUAUAAAACCCACGAGAUAAUGAUUAAAAGAGACAGACGGUGGCAUUCGUACUGCUACGUUAGAGGUGAAAUUCUUGGAUCGUAGCAAGACGAACAAUUGCGAAAGCAUUUGCCAAGAAUGUUUUCAUUAAUCAAGAACGAAAGUUGGAGGAUCGAAGGCGAUCAGAUACCGCCCUAGUUGCGACUUUAAACGAUGCCAACUAGCGAUUCGGCGAUGUCUUGCUAAUGACUCGCUGAGCAGCUCCCGGGAAACAAAAGUCUUUCGGUUCCGGGGGAAGUAUGGUUGCAAAGCUGAAACUUAAAGGAAUUGACGGAAGGGCACCACCAGGAGUGGAGCAUGCGGCUUAAUUUGACUCAACACGGGAAAGCUCACCCGUCCCGAACACUGUCAGGAUUGACAGAUUGAGAGCUCUUUCUUGAUUCAGUGGGUAGUGGUGCAUGGCCGUUCUUAGUUGGUGGAGCGAUUUGUCUGGCCAAUCCCGAUAACGAACGAGACUCUGGCCUACUAAAUAGUGACGGCUCGAUUCAGUGAUGCUGAUCACUUCUUAGAGGGACAAGCGGCGGUACAAAGCCGCACGAGAAAGAGCAAUAACAGGUCUGUGAUGCCCUUAGAUGGACGGGGCUGCACGCGUGCUACACUGAUGGCACCAACGUGCGUUUAAGCCUGGCUUGAAGAGGUCAGGUAAUCGAUUGAAAUGUCCGUCGUGACUGGGACAGGGAAUUGCAAUUAUUUCCCUCGAACGAGGAAUUCCCAGUAAGCGCGAGUCAUCAGCUUGCGUUGACUACGUCCCUGCCCUUUGUACACACCGCCCGUCGCUACUACCCAAUGGGAUGGGUUUAUUGAAGGCUUCUGGACGGAGGCUACUUGUUCGGCCCCUUUAUGUGGGUUAGGC
rnacentral:rRNA from 1 species